AUUGAACGCUGGCGGCAGGCUUAACACAUGCAAGUCGAACGAGUGGCGGACGGGUGAGUAAUGUCUGGGAAACUGCCCGAUGGAGGGGGAUAACUACUGGAAACGGUAGCUAAUACCGCAUACCAUCGGAUGUGCCCAGAUGGGAGUAGCUAGUAGGUGGGGUAACGGCUCACCUAGGCGACGAUCCCGAGCUGGUCGGAGAGGAUGACCAGCCACACUGGAACUGAGACCGGGCCCAGGGGCCUACGGGAGGCAGCAGUGGGGAAUAUUGCACAAGGGGCGCAAGCCUGAGGCAGCCAUGCCGCGUGUAUGAAGAAGGCCUUCGGGUUGUAAAGUACUUUCAGCGAGGAGGCGGUACCCGCAGAAGAAGCACCGGCUAACUCCGUGCCAGCAGCCGCGGUAAUUC
rnacentral:rRNA from 1 species